UACAGAGGUCCCGAGCGUUGUUCGGAUUCACUGGGCGUAAAGGGCGCGUAGGCGGCGGGGUAAGUCGGGUGUGAAAUCUCAGAGCUCAACUCUGAAAUGGCACUUGAUACUGCUCUGCUAGAGGAGUGGAGAGGAGAUUGGAAUUCACGGUGUAGCAGUGAAAUGCGUAGAUAUCGUGAGGAAGACCGGUGGCGAAGGCGAGUCUCUAGACAACACCUGACACUGAGGCACGAAAGCCAGGGGAGCAAACGGG
rnacentral:rRNA from 1 species